AGAGGGAACUCCAAGUGCCAUGCAAUUAGUAGGCUUUUCUUCAUGUUUAAAAAACAUGGAGAGUAAGGGGCGGGGUAAGACUGGUCCCAGCCGCCGCGGUAAUACCAGCCGCUCAAGUGGUGAUCCUUUUUAUUGGGCCUAAAGCGUCCGUAGCCGGUUUGGUAAAUCCUUGGGUAAAUCGAGCGGCUUAACUGUUCGAAUUCGGGGGAGACUGCCAGACUUGGGACCGGGAGAGGUCGGAGGUACUCCAGGGGUAGGGGUGAAAUCCUGUAAUCCUUGGGGGACCACCAGUGGCGAAGGCGUCCGACUAGAACGGAUCCGACGGUGAGGGACGAAGCCGUGGGGCGCAAACCGGAUUAGAUACCCGGG
rnacentral:rRNA from 1 species